GGCUGUGUGGUCGCGACCAGAGAAAGGAGAAAGGGGGGAACCCUAAUUUCAUCAAUCAACCUCAAGAAUUCAGCAAGAUUGUGAAGGAUUAGAGUCAUAAAUCGCAUGCUAGUGUUUAAAUACUCUCUAAUCCAAGUGUUUUGAACAUAAGGAGUGAAAGAAGAAGGAGCUAGUUCCGGUUCACAACAAAAGGCUCAAGAUCGAGGUAAAGCACAAGUUUAAUCGCCGUUGCGUCACUCGGAUAUGAACACACCUUGAUCACCCGUGAUACGCUUCCGCCUCUUUUGUAGUAAUUUCAAGUGUUAAAAGUUUUGAAAUGUCUAGAUGUGUUGAAGUCUUUAAUCUUUCACUAGUUGUUUGCAAGUAUUUGGUACUUAGAACUCAAUGUUUGAAAUGGUGGUUGAAAAUGUCAUGUUCUUUUGGUGUUU